UACGUAGGUGGCGAGCGUUAUCCGGAAUUAUUGGGCGUAAAGGGAGCGCAGGCGGUUAUAAAAGAUUGUGGUUAAAGAAUGGGGCUCAACUCCAUAAUGCCAUGAUAACUAUAUAACUAGAGUACAGAAGAGGAGAGUGGAAUUCCAUGUGUAGCGGUGAAAUGCGUAGAUAUAUGGAGGAACACCAGUGGCGAAGGCGACUCUCUGGUCUGUAACUGACGCUGAGGCUCGAAAGCGUGGGGAGCAAAUAGG
rnacentral:rRNA from 1 species